rnacentral:rRNA from 1 species
CCUACGGGUGGCUGCAGUGAGGAAUAUUGGUCAAUGGACGCAAGUCUGAACCAGCCAUGCCGCGUGCAGGAAGAAGGCUCUAUGAAUUGUAAACCGCUUUUGUACGAAGGUAAACGCAGAUACGCGUAUCUGUAUGAAAGUAACGUACGAAAAAGCAUCGGCUAACUCCGUGUCAGCAGCCGCGGUAAUACGGAGGAUUCAAGCGUUAUCCGGAUUUAUUGGGUUUAAAGGGUUCGUAGGCGGUCGGAUAAGUUAGGGGUGAAAGCCCGAGGCUCAACUUCGGAAUUGCCUCUGAUACUGUUCGGCUAGAGAGUAGUUGCGGUAGGCGGAAUGUAUGGUGUAGCGGUGAAAUGCUUAGAGAUCAUACAGAACACCGAUUGCGAAGGCAGCUUACCAGGCUACUUCUGACGUUGAGGCACGAAAGCGUGGGGAGCAAACAGGAUUAGAUACCCGGGUAGUC